rnacentral:lncRNA from 1 species
GUUUUUAUUUAAACAUAUUCAAAAUAAAGAACAGAUAUCAUUCAAAUCACAAUGUUUGUUGGAUAAGAAACAAUGAACUGUAUAAACAUUAUUUUUUUUUUAAAUAAAUACUCUUUUUUGUGAUUGAAUGCUUCAAGGGAUUGCUUUGUGUUCCUUUCAACAAUGCCCUUAUAUAUAUUCUAUAAGAGCCAUGUGCGUUGACAAAUCUUGUCAAAGUACUUAUAAGAAGAUUAUUAGUGCAUAUUUCCUUUAGCCUUUUAGUGAUCUCCAGAUGUCUGUCUACAAGUAGAAUUGCCAACCUAUUUGUUAUUGUAUCAUAUAUAAGUCCUAAUUGGUUGCUUAUGACUGCUUAAUGUUCCGUAGCAAAUAUUACAUGCUUAUUCAGGAUGAUAGAAGUUCGGAUAGAAGAAGGGAAAUUUUUUGAGGCAUUAACAUUUUUUUCAAGGGGGAGGUUUUGGGGGAGGGUUAUUGAAGGCUAUGUAAGCUAGUCAAAGGAACAUUCAUCUAUUGUCUCCAGAAUCCAUGUGAGAAAAAUACAAAGAAAACUUUAGAUAGAUAAUGACAAUAGAUGAAGUCAACAGGUCACACUUAUGGCCCAAAUAAGCUUAAAUAAAAUAAUAUUAGAUAUAAAUCACUUUAUUGAUAAAUACUCUAUAAAAUCAAAUAUGUUCUCAAAACACAAAAAAUAAAUCGGACACUGUUCUCUAAUAUGCAUUGACAAAAUAUAACAAGUCAUCUAAUCAGACAAAAUUAUUAACCAACAAAUUAUACAGACAACAAUCAUAUAAAGAUAAACAUCAUAUUUCAAGGACUGAUUUAACAUGUUUAAUGCGUUUUUUAAAGUAGUACUCAAAUUAUGAUUAGAAAAAGGUAUCAUAUUCUAUAUUCCCAUCAAAUCAAAUAAUGUAGUCAACUACCAAUAAAGUGUUGAACGUUUGAGAAAAUAACAAUUAACUAUGCUUAUCAGGAUAAUUGAAAAAUAUUUUUAUCUGGCAGAGUUAAGCAUAAUGUUUUGUUUUAGAUACUUAAAACAUUACUUUAUCAUGUGCAGACAAUGUAAUGUCCCAUUGACCUAAUUUUGUAGUUUUCAAAAGAACCUUUUUGACUCAAAAUGAGAAUGCCCUUAUGAGAGGUGUUCUUUGAAUUUAAAUUCUGAGGGAGAAAUUGAUUUUACAUAGAAUCAUAACUAAACAAUGUCAACAUAAUUAUAGAUUAUCGUUGGUUAUCUCAACGAGAUUGAUUUUCUCGCUUGAGCCUGUGACGGCGAAAGCGAGAAAAGCAAUCGAGUUGAGAUGACCAAUGAUAAUCUGUUUAUCGCUAUUUUACCUAUGACGACGUUGUCAAUUUCAUGUCAAUUUCAUUAGUAACGCCACGAGGCUCCUUAGUUUCUAGCGAUAAUUUUCCAUCUCAAGCGAGUAGCAUGAUAUGAAAAAUUAUCACAAAAAAAGAUCUAAGGAAAAAUGCACAAAAUAGCGAUAAUAAAUAAUAAUAAAAAAAUAUGUUACUAGCUAUAGGUUACUUUGAAUUUGUUUUUGUCAUAUUCAAUCAAAUUAAGAGAUGCUGCAUAAAAACAUACAUAGUAUGGGAAUGCCUAUAUUUUGUAAAUCAUGUGAAAAAAAAUCUUGAGUAUAGAUUGUUGAUUAUUCUAAUAUGAUGUGCUUCUUUAGCUUUGUAAACAAUACUGUGAUAAAAUUCUCGAUAAAAUAUACUUAGCGCAGACUCAGAGAUAUGCCUAAUAAUGGCUGUUACAAUAUCCUUCCCACGUUAAUCUACAUGUAUUGAUUUGCAGAUUCUUUGCCGAUUUUAUUGUUUUAAAAAGUGCAAUUAAAAAAGACAAAAUAACUUUUAUUCUU